AUCACACAUAUGUAAUAUAGGAUAUCACAUGUAUUUCCAGGUCCAGUAGUUCUGAAUUACUUCUCUGCUCAUGAUAUUUUUAUUAAUGGGAGUACUGAGACAAGGCUGUGCAAACAUGGGCUCCUUUGGAAUGGAUUCACAGAAGAUUAAAUGCUGAGUUGCUGGAUUUAUACAGCUCACCUUAUGCUAGGAUCCCCUGAUUCCUGGCUUGGAUGAGGACUGCAUUUGUACUUUGCAAGGUGCUGCACCCCUGUCUGCUAUUCACUCGUUGCACUCCGUAUGCCAGAAUGAAGAUGGCCGGUGGGGUUGAGAGAAUGUGUGUGGCUCCCUGCCACCACAGACUUGAGAAUCAAUAUUUUUGUGCAGGGUUGAAGUCGACAUCGGAAGAGGUCACAGCUGUGACACCACCAAGGGCAGCACCUCUAUAAAAAGACUCCACCUCCUGUCACCUGCAUAGGAUUUUGGGUUAGAAAUAAAAUUCCUAAAAAAUUCUCCAGCCCCACACACUGUGAACUCCUGCCUUGCCCCAGUUCUCUGCUAUUACAGAGUUUUGAUAUUCUGGACACAUUGACAGCAGGACAGUCCUCACCCCUGCUGGUGGCCCAUGAAGUAUCACUGCGUUGACAUGCUCCUCUCAGCUUGGGAGAGCAGCGAACUUGCUCUCUGUUUACCCACCCCCGCCACUUUAGCACGCCUCACUAUAGACCGGAAGAACCACCAGGCGAAGAUGCCUCCAUUUACUUCAGUGAUUUUUGAGUGUAAGAAGUUUUUAAAGGACCCUCUGCCCUCCCAGUGCAUUGUAUCACCCUCCCGGUGACAUGUCAAAUGACAGAGAAUGAAUGGAGGUCUUCUAUAACAGUGUGAGUUCUUCUUGAGAGAAAUGACAAGAACGCAGCUGGAGAAGCAAAAUCAGAUUUUUCAGGUGAAUUCAGAAUGGAGGUCACUCAGCUGCCAGAUGCCAUAAAAGAACAGUGUGAUUUUCAGCAUUCCAGGCUUAGUUCUAAGUUUAGCAGAGGGUGAAAAUGGAGCAGAGUGGCAGGAAUCCUCAAACCUGAAAGGGAUGAAAUUAGAUGGCUCCCUCAAGCCACAAAGGAGCGUGAGGCUACUCCUGACCUCACCCCAUUUGAUUCUGGGGGUGGAAACAUCUGAAGGAGCGGAGGAACUCCAACCGGGUGAAAGCCACCAGGGCCAGAGAGCUCUGGGACCUCUUACGGAUGGCUUUCCGAGACGGAGCUUAUCCGGUCUUGAAGAUUUUUUGAAAUCAGUCAAUAGUAUUGAUUGAAUGUUUACUGUGUGCAGAGCACCUAACUAAGCUCUUAGGAGAG